GAUGAACGCUGGCGGUGUGCUUAACACAUGCAAGUCGAACGGAAAGGCCCAAGCUUGCUUGGGUACUCGAGUGGCGAACGGGUGAGUAACACGUGGGUGAUCUGCCCUGCACUUCGGGAUAAGCCUGGGAAACUGGGUCUAAUACCGGAUAGGACCACAUUUUGGAUGGUGUGGUGGAAAGUUUUUCGGUGUGGGAUGAGCUCGCGGCCUAUCAGCUUGUUGGUGGGGUAAUGGCCUACCAAGGCGUCGACGGGUAGCCGGCCUGAGAGGGUGUACGGCCACAUUGGGACUGAGAUACGGCCCAGACUCCUACGGGAGGCAGCAGUGGGGAAUAUUGCACAAUGGGCGCAAGCCUGAUGCAGCGACGCCGCGUGGGGGAUGACGGCCUUCGGGUUGUAAACUCCUUUCGCUAGGGACGAAGCGUUAUGUGACGGUACCUGGAGAAGAAGCACCGGCUAACUACGUG
rnacentral:rRNA from 1 species